AAUGAUGGUUUGACUGUGCACUUUUUAUCAUCUUAUCACUGUCAUAGGUCUUCCCUCUCUGUUUUACUUCCAGGGAUCCCCAACAAACAACGUGUCUCCAACAUCAACUCCAGCCAAAUCUUCAAACGCUGUUCCUACACUGCAGCCUCCUCCUGGGGAGAGCGCCGGUGCCACAGCUGCUCCAGAACCAGCCGAAGAUUCUUUGUUGGACCUGGACCCACUCUCUUCCUCGGGUCCAUCGGCACCAUCAGCUGCCCCUACGUCCUGGGGAGACCUUCUCGGAUCAGACCCCUUCGCUCCCUCAGAUGGUAACUCCAACGCAGCCUCUUCAGGUCUAGACCUUUUCGCCAUGAUGACAGUGGAGAAUAACCCCCCGGGUAGCUCGCUGGAUGUGUGUUUUAACUCUGUGGCGCCCCAGCUCUCCCCCUCCCCAUCCCCUUCCCCUUCACCUCUCUUCAGCUGUGCAUCCAGCACCAUCACCACCACUGCAACCAUUUCAGCUCCCGUAGCCCCCAGCUCCACCAACCCUUCGACCGACCUUUUCAGCGACGUGUUCAGCUCCCCUGCCCCCAUCCUCUCCUCAGCACCCCCAACAAAAAUUGACACAGGAGCCAUCAUGAACCUGUUUGGUGUGUGA
rnacentral:lncRNA from 1 species